rnacentral:rRNA from 1 species
GACGAACGCUGGCGGCGUGCUUAACACAUGCAAGUCGAACGGAAAGGCCCUGCUUUUGUGGGGUGCUCGAGUGGCGAACGGGUGAGUAACACGUGAGUAACCUGCCCUUGACUUUGGGAUAACUUCAGGAAACUGGGGCUAAUACCGGAUAGGUGUUCCUGCUGCAUGGGGGGGGUUGGAAAGUUUCGGCGGUUGGGGAUGGACUCGCGGCUUAUCAGCUUGUUGGUGGGGUAGUGGCUUACCAAGGCUUUGACGGGUAGCCGGCCUGGGAGGGUGACCGGCCACAAUGGGACUGCGAGACGGCCCAGACUCCUACGGGAGGCAGCAGUGGGGAAUAUUGCACAAUGGGCGGAAGCCUGAUGCAGCAACGCCGCGUGCGGGAUGACGGCCUUCGGGUUGUAAACCGCUUUCGCCUGUGACGAAGCGUGAGUGACGGUAAUGGGUAAAGAAGCACCGGCUAACUACGUG